ensembl:misc_RNA Metazoa_SRP Metazoan signal recognition particle RNA
GCCGGGCAUGGUAGCGCACACCUGUAAUCCCAGCUACGUGGGAGGCUGAGGCAGGAGAAUCGCUUGAACCCAGGAGGCAGAGGUUGCAGUGAGCCAAGAUCAUGCCACUGUACUCCAGCCUGGGUGACAGAGCGAGAUGCUGUCUCAA